rnacentral:misc_RNA from 1 species
UGAAGUAAAAGUCGUAACAAGGUUUCCGUAGGUGAACCUGCGGAAGGAUCAUUAUUGUAUAACCGAGGUGCGAGGGCUGUCGCUGACCCGAAAGGUCGUGCACGCCCGAGUGCCCUCACACACAUCCAUCUCACCCCUAUGUGCACCACCGCGUGGGUCCCCCUUUGGCUUGUUCGGAGGGGGGCUUACGUUUUCACACAAACUUUGUAUGCAGUGUAGAAUGUAUUUUUUGUUUUUGCGAUCACGCAAUCAAUACAACUUUCAACAACGGAUCUCUUGGCUCUC